rnacentral:lncRNA from 1 species
AAACAUGUGCAAAGCUUCAUCACUUGAUAGAUCCAUUUUUGUUAAAGCAUCUGUUAUUCAGUUAGCCUCUCUAGGAACGUAUCUCAAGGACCAUUUCUCUUUAAAGGUUAAAAUUUGUUGAAUCCUUCUUAUUGGAGUGCUUUUUGGACUUUCAAUCUUAUUCUCGUAAAUAGAUAUAACAUUCUUGAGAUUAUUCGACUGAAUGAUGACCUCGUUAUAUCCUUGUUUUUGAAGAAGAAGUAAACCAUCCAAUAUACCCCAGAGCUUAACAAUCGCGACUGAACAUUUCCCUAAAAAGCGAUUAUAGCCCAAGAUCCAG